UGUUUAUAAGUAGCUUUUCAUCAAUGUUUCACAGGGAGCUGUGCUGGUUAAAAGUUUGGCUGCCAAGGAACCAUCUACUCUUGCCUUAGAUACUUAUUACAAGCAGUAUUAUCUCUGUUUGGCUACUGAUGCUGCUACUAUCAAAUGGUAAUCCAAUUCUGCAUGCAUUUGAGUUCUACCUAUUUUUUUAUUCAUGUUGUAACUUCCACUCAAGAGCGUAUCUGAUAUAGAGUGGAUGAUCCCAACCAACAAUAAAUGAGAUCAACGCCCCCAAAAGAGGAAGAGUUGAGAAGUGUGUGCAUGUAGACAAUGAGUUGAGAAGUGUGUGCAGGGUUAGGCAUGCAGGACUCGGUACUGAGUCGGGUCGAGUUCGGGUUAGCUCGAUUUCAAAACCGGAUCAAGUUAGGCCUGAAGAACUAGUGGAAGAGAUCGCUUGGGUUGUGAGGGAUGGACGAGAAGACAUUGAAGAGGAGGAUUUGCAGCGGAUAUCAUAUCUGAAGGCAAAGUGAUCAUUCUAGAAAAGAGCAAGGAAUUGUUGGAUUAUAGAAGCCUGGAAAUGAAAUGUUAUAUUGAAAUUGGAAAUUUAAAUUAAAAUUAAAAUGUGUACUAGAAAAGAAGGAAAAGAUUAUUAUGUGUGAAUCAUUCUAGUCCUUUUCUUCUAUUUGUGUAAUUAUCUGGCAUAUAAUACAAGUAGAUUACAUACCC